GCUGAGCACUUAUGCAAGAUGUAUGAAUUCUUGGGGCUCUUCAAAGCAAGGUUCCAUGCUGGCAACACUCAGAAGUUAUUGUAUGAAAUGUCAAAGGAAGAGGUGGAUAAUUUUGACAUUGAUGUAUCAAAGAUAGAGUGGAGGAAGUAUUUUCAAGAAGUUCACAUCCCUGGUUUGAGAAAGCACGUGCUUAACGACAGAAGUAUAUCUGUCUAAGCAAACAUGUAACCGUGUUUUUUUUUUUGUUAUGUUAUGUCUGAAAUUUCAAGUUGUUGCAAUAUUGAUGAUUGUAAGAUUUGUUCUUAAUUAUUAAUUCGCAUUCUUUUUUUUGCUUUU